rnacentral:misc_RNA from 1 species
GCGGUAGUGACAACAGCAGUAGCGGCAGGAGGAGGGACACAAGCAGCAGUAGUAGAAUCGGAGUGGAACUCGUGCAAACCAGCAACCCGAGGCAUCAGCAUCAUCAUAUCGUAGUGGUGGCCCUGUGGUGGCAGAUUCCUGUGGGCAGCAGAGAAGCGUUCAGCUGGCUGUGGCUGUGGGAUUGCAGGGAAAUGGGUAGGUCUCCCGCUGAUGAACUGCCUGAGAUCUAUGCUAUACUGAUUAUG